ACGGGUGAGUAACGCGUGGGAAUCUACCGUGCCCUGCGGAAUAGCUCCGGGAAACUGGAAUUAAUACCGCAUACGCCCUACGGGGGAAAGAUUUAUCGGGGUAUGAUGAGCCCGCGUUGGAUUAGCUAGUUGGUGGGGUAAAGGCCUACCAAGGCGACGAUCCAUAGCUGGUCUGAGAGGUGAUCAGCCAUAUUGGGACUGAGACACGGUCCAACUCUCUACGGGAGGCAGCAGUGGGGAAUAUUGGACAAUGGGCGCAAGCCUGAUCCAGCCAUGCCGCGUGAGUGAUGAAGGCCUUAGGGUUGUAAAGCUCUUUCACCGGAGAAGAUAAUGACGGUAUCCGGAGAAGAAGCCCCGGCUAACUUCGUGCCAGCAGCCGCGGUAAUACGAAGGGGGCUAGCGUUGUUCGGAAUUACUGGGCGUAAAGCGCGCGUAGGCGGAUAUUUAAGUCAGGGGUGAAAUCCCAGAGCUCAACUCUGGAACUGCCUUCGAUACUGGGUAUCUUGAGUAUGGAAGAGGUAAGUGGAAUUCCGAGUGUAGAGGUGAAAUUCGUAGA
rnacentral:rRNA from 1 species